UACGGAGGGUGCAAGCGUUGUCCGGAAUCAUUGGGCGUAAAGAGUUCGUAGGUGGCAUGUAAAGUCUGGUGUUAAAUGCAGAAGCUCAACUUCUGUUCGGCACUGGAUACUUGCAAGCUAGAAUGCGGUAGAGGUAAAGGGAAUUCCUGGUGUAGCGGUGAAAUGCGUAGAUAUCAGGAGGAACAUCGGUGGCGUAAGCGCUUUACUGGGCCGUAAUUGACACUGAGGAACGAAAGCCGGGGUAGCAAAUGGG
rnacentral:rRNA from 1 species